rnacentral:rRNA from 1 species
AUGGAAGAAGGAUGCCUACCAGAUUAUUGUCCUUGCGAGGCCACAGAUUGGAGAUCCCAAACUAUCUCCUUGACUGCUCUCAAAGAAGUGGGGAUCAAUGGCUUCGAAGGAGAGGAUCAUGACUUUGAUUUUUUUAAACUGAUAGUCAGAUGUGCGCCAAUGCUUAAUAGAAUGAUUGUGAAGUUGUCACAGGAGGCCUCCACAAAUAAUGAUGUGUGCGCAAAGAUAUACAACAUCUUUGGGGUGUAUUCUUCGGUGGAAUGUUGUGUUUAUCAUAGCUCUGGUGAGUAUAUGUUUGGCAUGUAUGAUUAG